CCUACGGGGGGCAGCAGUGGGGAAUAUUGGACAAUGGGCGAAAGCCUGAUCCAGCCAUGCCGCGUGUGUGAAGAAGGCCUUCGGGUUGUAAAGCACUUUCAGUGGGGAAGAAAGCCUUGGGGCUAAUACCCUCGAGGAAGGACAUCACCCACAGAAGAAGCACCGGCUAACUCCGUGCCAGCAGCCGCGGUAAUACGGAGGGUGCGAGCGUUAAUCGGAAUUACUGGGCGUAAAGCGCGCGUAGGCGGUCUGAUAAGCCGGUUGUGAAAGCCCCGGGCUCAACCUGGGAACGGCAUCCGGAGCUGUCAGGCUAGAGUGCAGGAGAGGAAGGUAGAAUUCCCGGUGUAGCGGUGAAAUGCGUAGAGAUCGGGAGGAAUACCAGUGGCGAAGGCGGCCUUCUGGACUGACACUGACGCUGAGGUGCGAAAGCGUGGGUAGCAAACAGGAUUAGAUACCCCCAGUAGUC
rnacentral:rRNA from 1 species